CCGCGCUCAGGCCCGCCCUCCGCGCACGCCCACCCGCCUCCCAGCCCGGCCCGCUCACCGGAAACGCCCGCUGCGCUCCGGCCUGGAGCACGACGGCCCCGUGCCGGGAGCCCCGUGCGGGGACGCUAGGAGACGACACCGCGGCGGACCACCAGGCCCACUGAGGCCCAGAGUAAUGGCCGCACCGCGGGUACCACCACUUCCGGUCUCUCUCCUCCGCCCCGGCGCACCAUCGCGGACUCUCUAGAGUUGAUAUCUCUAUAUGGGACUGAACCUGGAACUAGGCUCCAAAAGAGAAAGGCCAUAUGGAUCCCAUGUAUUCCUAGUCCCCGACCUAAAGCUGAAGUCUUCAUACUAGGUUCGAGAAAAAUGUCUGUUGAAUGAGCAAGGUUCGUAUUA
rnacentral:lncRNA from 1 species